AGCUCCAAUAGCGUAUAUUAAAGUUGUUGCGGUUAAAAAGCUCGUAGUUGGAUUUUGGAGCUCGAACUAAGGGUCCGGUUUAUCCGCGCACUUACGGUUCGGCUCUUCUGUCUGGAGACUCGGUGCGCCCUUCAUUGCGGUGCUCCGAGAAUCUAGGACUUUUACUUUGAACAAAUUAGAGCGUCCAUCGCAGGCUCACACGCCUUGAAUACAUUAGCAUGGAAUAACUCAUAGGACUUCAGUUCUAUUUUGUUGGUUUUAAGGACCGAAGUAAUGAUUAAUAGGGACAGUUGGGGGCAUUAAUAUUUAAUUGUCAGAGGUGAAAUUCUUAGAUUUAUGAAAGAUUAACUUCUGCGAAAGCAUUUGCCAAGGAUGUUUUCAUUAAUCAAGAACGAAAGUA
rnacentral:rRNA from 1 species